rnacentral:lncRNA from 1 species
GUACACUUUAUUUGUAUCACUUUAAUAUCCUCAAAAUAUUUUUUUUUUGAGAGAGAAAAAUAGCACACUAUCCGUUUUAUUCAUUUAGCAAAUGAAUUUAGCUACAGGGGUUGAGACAACGCGGUCUCAGAAAACAUUGAAGGCAACCGAAACAAAAAAGACAAAUAAAAAUUAAAAUAAAAAACUAUAAAAAAUUUAUACUUGUACUCCUCACUCAAAAUCAAAACACUAAGAGUUGCAAAACUCAGUCCAAUCACUACUCACAUCUCGUAUCCGUCUAAUAGUUAAAAAAGGGUCACAUGAUUGGCUCCUAAAAAUAAUGUUAUUUCUUUCCCGCCAGAUCAUUUACCAACAGAUUACGACCUUACUUAAAUCCCUCGUAGCUGUCCCUUGGCGGCGGUCCCCAACCAGUAGCUCCCAAACACUUCUGACCUCCAUUCUAGGUCUUGGGAUGUGCCUACCUUCUAAGAUGUUGUAUAUAAAAAAUCUACUGAUUACACAUCCGACUAGCAAAUGAUCAGUAGUCUCUAAAUCGUUGUCACACAUCACGUAUUGUGGAUUCCUGGACCAGUCUCUUUUGAGUAAGUUGUCAACCGUAGGUUGGCGUUUCGAAGUGUUAACCAAAUGAAAAUUCUAACUUUAAGGGUGCGUUUGGUUCGCGCUAUCUUUUAAAGAUUCCUAAUAAUCCAAUGGGAAUAAAAAAAUAUGACGGUGUUUGGCUAAACGCACUAAGUAAUCUAGUUGGUAAUAUUGGAUUCACUUGGGAAUAAGAUUCACCCCAAAGUACUAAUCUCAUUUCCUUAAGGAGGGUGGGUAUCUUCAUAUUAAUGGAUUGGGGUAAUCAUAAUAUGUCUAAUCUCUUUCUUUCUUCCUACCCGCCGGCUAAUUGAUAUUAUUUUUCUUUACACUUUAACCUUAUAUCUCUCUCUAAACUAAGCUUUCUCUCUCUCUCUCUUUCUAAAAUUUCAACUCUCUCACUCCCUCUAAUUUCGACUAUAUUUUUCUUNUUUCUAUUUUUUUAAUUAUGCUCUCCCUCUAACUUAUACUCUCUCUCCCUUUUUUCUAAAAAGAUGUUGAAACUUUUGAUAACAUUAUCUAAAAUUAAUUAAAUAAAUAAAUUAAUUAAUUGUAUAAUUUUUGUAAUAUUAAAUAACAUGGCUAAUUAAUAUUACCGUGUGAACCAAACACAGGAAUCCCACAUUCUUAGUAAUAGGAUGAAUAGUAAUAAGAUUCUCGGAUAUCUUUUAUUCCUAGUAAUCUUUUAUAAUACGAACCAAACGCACCCUAAAUGAUAUUUUCAACUCUCAAAAUUUCAGUAAAA